CAUAAUCAAAUUGUCCAUAUCAAUUUCCAUUCCACUUCUCCAAACAAUAUCGAAUUAAUUUUCCAAUUUCCCUUCUCCAGCUCCACUCCGGUCUCUCCCAACCCAGUGCAUUAUCCCUGAAAUCUUACAAAAUCAGCGACCGGCAACGACCGAGCGAGUGGCGACCAACUAAGAGGAACAAACGAGACUGUGCUAUGAUAGUCAAGAUGAGGAACGAUCGACGGACGAUGAGGAGAGACGAAAUCCGACUGACGGAGACCAGGCGACGAACUGAGAGGGCGACCGACCAACGGACGACGAUGAGAACAAUAUCUGCCCGAGAAUCGAACAGAAAUUGGAUUCAUUGACAGCUUGGCAUCUAGUAUUUGUUUUUUGAACAUAAAUGAGAAUGAUGACCAAGUGAUGAAUGAUAGCAUUCAAAAUGUGCCGCAGAGCUGAAAGAUUCAAACAUGGUCCUGUUAAGUGUACAAAAUUGAAUCAGACUCUCAUUUCAUCAUGGAAGAAGGGUGGUACAAUGUUCAUAUUUGAUACAGUAAUGCUUCAGUCAUUUCUUCAUUUGCUUUAUGUAGUUAUUUUUGCAUUGUUUAUCUCUCUUCACAAUUUGUAGGUACUUAAAGAUACAAGUCAAGCAUGAAACACUAGAUAUACAUGGAUUCUUAUGUUACUUGUAACAAUAUUUAAUUUUUACUGUAGAGAGAGAUUAUCAUAAUAGGAAAUUUAACUUGGGAAUAUUGAUUGUGCUUUAAAAUACUACAAUGAUGUUUACUA